UAAAUAGUCCGGCCGGCUUUUGCUGGUCGCAGACUUCUUAGAGGGACUGUCAGCGUCUAGCUGACGGAAGUUUGAGGCAAUAACAGGUCUGUGAUGCCCUUAGAUGUUCUGGGCUGCACG
rnacentral:rRNA from 1 species